CACAGUAGGGAACAGGCCCAGCACACAGUAGGGAACAGGCCCAGCACUCAGGGAACAGGCCCAGCACUCAGUAGGGAACAGGUUCAGCACUCAGUAGGGAACAGGCCCAGCACACAGUAGGGAACAGGCCCAGCACACAGUAGGGAAUAAGCCCAGUACACAGUAGGGAAUAGGCCCGGCACACAGUAGGGAACAGGCCCAGCACACAGUAGGGAAGGAACAGGCCCAGCACACAGUAGGGAACAGGCCCAGCACUCAGUAGGGAACAGGCCCAGCACACAGUAGGGAACAGGCCCAGCACAUAGUAGGGAACAGGCCCGGCACACAGUAGGGAACAGGCCCGGCACACAGUGGGGAAUAGGUUGGUGAGACCCCAGCUGCAGCUUUAUGCACAUUCAAGGUAUAAAUAACUGUCAGACUCCAGCUCUUGUUAUGCCCAAGGGCCCGCCCAACUCCAAGAGCUGUGCUAUCUCCAUUGAGUCUUCUCCUUCGGUGGGGGAGGAAGCAUCUUCAGCAAUCCCAGCGGCUGAAUCUUACAGGAGGAUCCCCUCUCAGGUCCCUUCCUUUCUAUUUUUUCACACCCAUUUUUUCCUCUGAAGAGGCUUGACAACGGCCACUCCCCUGGGAUUUGGGAUCUGCACAUUCAGGUGUGUACACACACGUGUGUGUGCGUGCUCGUGCAUGCAUGUGGGCAAGUCAGGUAUGUGGGCACGCCUGUGUGCACACAGGAGGUAACUACAGCCCAGCCCUCCCCCCACCCGCAUUGGUGAAAUUUACAUUGAACCACAAAUUAAUUUCAUAAUUUUUUCUCUCUAAUUAUGCCAACAUCUGUUGCAAGGCAAGCUGUGUGUGUGCAUUUUAAUGUGUCCCCCCCCCCCCCGCCGCUCGCCUGCUCACAGCGUUGCUGUCUGUCUCUGACUGAACUUUUCAAUAAUUAUCACCAAGAGAGGAUCUAGACUUUCAUUUCUCUUGCUGCUCCAGAGGAGGAGGGAGAUGAUGGGGGAGGGAAAGGGAACGAGGGGCAGAUGGAAAGGGAGACCAGGAAUGGGCAAAGGGAGCUGUGGCCCGUUAGCACUGGAGGGACGCCUUUGUGCCUGCAGGAAGACAGCACGGCUGUGAGGAGAGAAUAGGGCAAGGGUGAGGGAGAGAAAACAGCUGGAAGCCACGAGUCGUGGCCAGAGACAAGACUUCUCUCCCAAGGCCUGAAGGUGGGGGUGUGCAGAGUCACGGUAUAGCUUCUGACCUCCUGUGAGCACUGCACUCUCACAGUAUAGAUGAGGAAUCAUGGCUUUGCACUAUGUGUCUUGGGAGCCCUGGUGCCUGGGUCCUGCCUGGAUUCCUGAGAUAGCCUCUGGUCCUGACAGGAGUCUGGCCCUGGCACCCGAAAGAGUGUGUGCUGAGGAAAUGCAUUGGCAUCCUUCCCUGCCUUCCCACCAGCACCCACCUGCUGGCCCAAGGAAGAGAGUGACCCCCAGAAUCACCAGAGAUAAGAGACUCUCCAAAGAGAAUCCUCCUUCCUACCCUUGGACUGAGCGUGAGCCUUCACACGCCUGAAUGCGUGAGGGUGUGUGUGGGCAUGUUGGAUGUGUGAGCUUGAGGACUGUGCACAUGUACAUGCGAUCUGUGCUCAGGCACACGUGUGUGGGCUCCAGUCAUUUGUGUGUCUAUGCACAUGGAUGUGCCUGUGUGGGCUUGCGCAUACUAACUUCUGAUCAGCCCUGCCCGGCAAAUGGACCCGUUUCCAGGAUCGUGGCAUCCAAAGACCCACAUAUGAUAUUCUGGAUGCCAGUUGUGCCCAGAAGAAAGUAGGUGGGGGUUGGGAAGAGCAGCCAUCACUCAAACCCAUGUCUCUAACACUGUGCUGACACCACCAAGGUGUCCGUGGAGAUCCACGAGAGCCUGGCACUUUCCUAAAUGAGGUGCUAGCUGUAGGCACCUGUGGGUCGUUGAGAGGUUCAUUCCCCCUGCAAGAGACCCCCAAGUGCACCCAAUGACAGAGCAUCAGCACGGCCCUGGGGCCAGGCUUGGAAAAGGCAGGAUCAGGAGUAGGGUAAAGCAGGAAUCCCCUCACGGACAGAAAGUUACGGAAGGAAGUAGAUGGUGAGACUGCUUCUGGCCAUGAUUAGAAUAACAGACGUCAGAAUUCCAUGCCUGCCAGAGACAGCUGCUUAGCCGCACUCCUGCACACGGUGGUUUAGAUGUGGAAUGCUUCCUGAAAGGCUCAUACGUGCAAGGCUUGCCUCCCAGCUACGGACCCAGUCCUUGAGAGGUGCCUGGACCCUGACGGUUCUGAGUUACUCAGAACAUAGAUCCACUGAGCUGUCUAUAACAUGAUGGCCCUACUAGGAGGCGGGGCCUCGCGGGAGGCGGGGCCUCGCGGGAGGCGGGACCUCGCGGGAGGCGGGACCUCGUGGGAGGUGGAGCUCUCUGGGUGCAUGCUCUUAGGGGCUAUCCUGCCCUAGGUUCUUCCUAUCUGCUCUCUCCCCUUCUUCCUCUUCUUUUCCUCCCCUGUUCUCCCCUUUUCUUCCCUUCCUUGCUCUCUCUCCUCCAUCUCUUCUUUUCCUCUACCCUUGUGAAACUUGAGCCAACCUGACUCUUCACUUCUCUGCGCUGGUCUGCCACAGGAACAAAAUUGUGACCAACUGAAUGGAAGAUGCUGCGAACCUCCCUCAGCUUUCUGCCUGGAGAAGGUUCUCCGGCUCCUGCUGAGUUGCUGUAGAGGCCAAGACGGCACUGUGGCCUCAGUAGACUCGGGAAACAGGGGCUGGUGUUCAAGGGUACUGAGGUGCACACAAUUAACGGAGUGUAGAGAGAAAGAAGCUAUACCAAGGAGAGGCCAGAGCAGUACACAGGAGUGCCCUGUAACCACAUGAGACAUGGGCCCUGUGAGAACUGUCACCAGAAGUCGAUGUGGCACUCCUGACGGUGUUCAGCUCUCACGGAUGGAGUGCAAAUGUUGGCUGAAGGCUUUGGAAAGGCAAGUCUUGAGAACAGUGUGGUGAUGGUCCUCACACAAAGUGUACCUUGUAACCCCUCUUUGUGAACAGUUUUGCCAGCUAAGGCUUCAUGGCUGAAACAAACAUCAUCUUAGUCAUAGAAAAGACCUCAGAGGACGGACCCAGAGGUGACCCAGGUGCGGGAAUCAGAAGGGAAAGGUUUGAAAGAACAGGUGAGCAGCAGUUUGGACCACAGGAAAGAAAGGUGAGAGAACCUAAAGAUGGAUCUAUUUAAAGAAUCCCAAUUUAAGCACAGAUGUAAAGACUCAAUAUGGCUCUAGACAUGUUUCAGCCUUUGUUAUGAAGCCCUGGAUCCGGUCCCCAGAACUAUAUAGGUCAGGCAUGCUGGUAGCUCACGCCUAUAUAAGAACUCAGGAUGUGGCUCCAGGAGGAUCAGCGGUUCAAGGUCAUCCUCGACUACAGGUUGAGUUUGAGGAGGCCAUCCUGGGAUAUGGAGACCCUGUCUUAAAAACAGAACAACAAAGAUGCUACCACCUGUGGCAGAAUGUGAAGCCAGCCACCUGUCUGUGCCUGGGAUGUGGAAGGAGAAAACAGAGACUCAGAGAAGACAAAAAUGUUUACUCUACCAAUCAAUGAAGGCAUAAAAACUAGAAAGCAUCAUCAUAACAUAAACACCACAGGCAAACUACGGAAACCAAAGCUAAAGAAACCACCCCAGGAGCAGGUAGAGACAGACAGAUACAACACAGACACAGACACACAGACACAUAGAGGAGGACCUGGUAAGGAAUACUGGCGACUUCCAAUCAGAAUCAAUGCAAGACUGAAGACAGCAGGAGAGCCUUUAAAACAUCAAAUGUAUAAACAAAGAAAAUUGAAACACCCUUCAAGGAUUAGACAGGAACAAAGCAAUUUUUUUUUGGGUGAACAAAAUCUGAGACAGUCCACCACAGCAGACGACACGGUGGAGAACGUGAAUGAAGAAUCACGUUCAUGGGAACGGUGGAGAAUCCUUCAAGAGAGAAGAUGGCCUGGAGAGCCUCAGACCUCCUGAGAGAGGAAGCUGUGGGAAGUUGCAACGUGGUAACGCAAAGCCCUCUUUCCAUUUCCAACCUUCUUUAGAGGACAAUGAGAGAGACACAAUAGUGUCUGGUGAGAAGAGUCAUGGCAUCUGCGGAAGGGACAUGUGUGCUUUCAACCCAAGGCAGGAGGGUAAAGAGACACUACAGCAGCAUUUCCUUUCGGAGCAUGAGAUCAUAUCUAUAGAUGUGGCGUGAGUCCAGAAUAAAGAUAUCUUUGUCCUUGGAGCAGCUGCCAAAAAUAAGAAGCUAGGAGGUGCCAGGAACCCGGAACGAGACCUCGGAUUUGACAGAGUACGGUAAUCUAUGGCGUAGACAAUCUGCCGUUUCUACCAUGGAUAUUUUGUUUUGUGACAUCUCUCAAGCUUGCAUUGGAAGCAGACGUGUACACAUUAUCAAUAAAGUCUCCAGGUUUGGUGUACAGGGGG
rnacentral:sRNA from 1 species